UGCAUCUGCACAUGAUUGCACAAAUGCACUCAAAACUUGCUACUGCAUGCACACAAAUUGAUAACUUUGUUAUGGGCUAAAUAGCUAGGCCUGGAGAUGUUUUGCCUGUGCCCUCCAUCAUUUUUUCUGCUAACAGUUUACAGAGGAAUAAUUCGAACAUAUAGUUGGCAUUCAUUUCUCUUUUCCAUCAUUGAUUGAUUCAUAUGGACAAUAAGCAGGUCAUUAAAACAUUUUCAAAAGAUUCUGGUUACUUGCACAUCUGUUCAAUCAAUCAGAGGAAACUCCUAUUGACCUUUUCAUUUUUAAAAUGUUUUUCCCUUUUCACCAUCUUUUCCAUUUUUGAUAGAUGGGGGUACCAAAAUGAAUUAGCAUGCAAAGGUUCAUCAUUUGGGUGGUCCUCUAAUAGAGCCCAUUAG
rnacentral:misc_RNA from 1 species